GUGUCAGCCGCCGCGGUAAAACCAGCACCUCAAGUGGUCAGGAGGUUUAUUGGGCCUAAAGCAUCCGUAGCCUGAUCUAUAAGUUUCCGGUUAAAUCCACAUGCUCAACAUUUGGGCUGCCGGAAAAACUGUAGAUCUAGGGAGUGGGAGAGGUAGACGGUACUCGGUAGGAAGGGGUAAAAUCCUUUGAUCUAUUGAUGACCACCAGUGGCGAAGGCGGUCUACCAGAACACGUUCGACGGUGAGGGAUGAAAGCUGGGGGAGCAAACCGGAUUAGAUACCCGGGUAGUCCCAGCUGUAAACGAUGCAGACUCGGUGAUGCAUUGGCUUGUGGCCAGUGCAGUGCCGCAGGGAAGCCGUUAAGUUUGCCGCCUGGGAAGUACGUACGCAAGUAUGAAACUUAAAGGAAUUGGCGGGGGAGCACCACAAGGGGUGAAGCCUGCGGUUCAAUUGGAGUCAACGCCAGAAAUCUUACCCGGAGAGACAGCAGAAUGAAGGUCAAGCUGAAGACUUUACCAGACAAGCUGAGAGGUGGUGCAUGGCCGUCGCCAGCUCGUGCCGUGAGAUGUCCUGUUAAGUCAGGUAACGAGCGAGACCCUUGCCUCUAGUUGCCACCAUUGCUCUCUGGAGCAGUGGGGCGAAUUAGCGGGACCGCCGCAGUUAAUGUGGAGGAAGGAAAGGGCUACGGCAGGUCAGUAUGCCCCGAAACUCUGGGGCCACACGCGGGCUGCAAUGGUAGUGACAAUGUGUUCCAAACCCUAAAGGGGGAGGUAAUCAUCAAACGCUACCACAGUUAUGACUGAGGGCUGCAACUCGCCCUCACGAAUAUGGAAUCCCUAGUAACUGCGUGUCAUUACCGCGCGCGGUGAAUACGUCCCUGCUCCUUGCACACACCGCCCGUC
rnacentral:rRNA from 1 species